AUGAACGCUGGCGGCGUGCCUAAUACAUGCAAGUCGAGCGCACAGACGAGGAGCUUGCUCCUCUGACGUUAGCGGCGGACGGGUGAGUAACACGUGGAUAACCUACCUAUAAGACUGGGAUAACUUCGGGAAACCGGAGCUAAUACCGGAUAAUAUAUUGAACCGCAUGGUUCAAUAGUGAAAGACGGUUUUGCUGUCACUUAUAGAUGGAUCCGCGCCGCAUUAGCUAGUUGGUAAGGUAACGGCUUACCAAGGCAACGAUGCGUAGCCGACCUGAGAGGGUGAUCGGCCACACUGGAACUGAGACACGGUCCAGACUCCUACGGGAGGCAGCAGUAGGGAAUCUUCCGCAAUGGGCGAAAGCCUGACGGAGCAACGCCGCGUGAGUGAUGAAGGUCUUCGGAUCGUAAAACUCUGUUAUUAGGGAAGAACAAAUGUGUAAGUAACUAUGCACGUCUUAACGGUACCUAAUCAGAAAGCCACGGCUAACUACGUG
rnacentral:rRNA from 1 species